UGAAACUGGGGAUCUUGAGGGCAGGAGAGGAAAGCAGAAUUCCUGGUGUAGCGGUGAAAUGCGUAGAAAUCAGGAGGAAUACCAGUGGCGAAGGCGGCUGUCUGGACUGUCCCUGACGCUG
rnacentral:rRNA from 1 species